rnacentral:rRNA from 1 species
ACGUAGGGUGCGAGCGUUAAUCGGAAUUACUGGGCGUAAAGCGUGCGCAGGCGGUUCGUUGUGUCGGCGGUGAAAGUCCGGGGCUCAACUCCGGAUCUGCGGUGGGUACGGGCAGACUAGAGUGAUGUAGGGGAGACUGGAAUUCCUGGUGUAGCGGUGAAAUGCGCAGAUAUCAGGAGGAACACCGAUGGCGAAGGCAGGUCUCUGGGCAUUAACUGACGCUGAGGAGCGAAAGCAUGGGGAGCGAACAGGA